rnacentral:rRNA from 1 species
CCCUUAGAUGUCCUGGGCCGCACGCGCGUUACACUGAUGCAUUCAACGAGCUUAUAACCUUGGCCGAGAGGCCUGGGCAAUCUUGUUAACGCGCAUCGUGAUAGGGAUAGAUUAUUGAAAUUAUUAAUCUUGAACGAGGAAUUCCUAGUAAACGCAGAUCAUCAAUCUGCAUUGAUUACGUCCCUGCCCUUUGUACACACCGCCCGUCGCACCUACCGAUUGGAUGGUCCGGUGAAGCCUCGGGAUUGUGGUUCUUGCCGCUUUGUUGUGGCGUGACCGCGAGAACUUGUCUAAACCUUAUCAUCUAGAGGAAGGUGAAGUCGUAACA